GCCUACCUACGGGACGCAGCAGUAGGGAAUUUUCGUCAAUGGGCGCAAGCCUGAACGAGCAAUGCCGCGUGAACGAGGAAGGUCUUCGGAUCGUAAAGUUCUGUUGAAGGGGAAAAAGAGCGGAGAGAGGAAAUGAACUCCGAUUGAUAUUACCCUUCGAGGAAGUCACGGCUAACUACGUGCCAGCAGCCGCGGUAAUACGUAGGUGGCGAGCGUUAUCCGGAAUGAUUGGGCGUAAAGGGUGCGUAGGCGGCCUGCUAAGUCUGGAGUGAAAGGUACCGGCUCAACCGUUACAGGCUCUGGAA
rnacentral:rRNA from 1 species